GGGGUGUUAGUGUAGUAGUCAACACGCCUGCCUGUCACGCAGGAGAUCACGGGUGCGACUCCCGUACACCCCG
rnacentral:tRNA from 2 species